rnacentral:piRNA from 1 species
UCCGAUUCUCCCUGUUACUUU